rnacentral:rRNA from 1 species
GACGAACGCUGGCGGCGUGCUUAACACAUGCAAGUCGAACGGAAAGGCCCUGCUUUUGUGGGGUGCUCGAGUGGCGAACGGGUGAGUAACACGUGAGUAACCUGCCCUUGACUUUGGGAUAACUUCAGGAAACUGGUGCUAAUACCGGAUAGGAGCUCCUGCUGCAUGGUGGGGGUUGGAAAGUUUCGGCGGUUGGGGAUGGACUCGCGGCUUAUCAGCUUGUUGGUGGGGGAGUGGCUUACCAAGGCUUUGACGGGUAGCCGGCCUGAGAGGGUGACCGGCCACAUUGGGACUGAGAUACGGACCAGACUCCUACGGGAGGCAGCAGUGGGGAAUAUUGCACAAUGGGCGGAAGCCUGAUGAAGCAACGCCGCGUGCGGGAUGACGGCCUUCGGGUUGUAAACCGCUUUCGCCUGUGACGAAGCGUGAGUGACGGUAAUGGGUAAAGAAGCACCGGCUAACUACGUG